CUUGGCACUGUCUGAGCGCAGGU
rnacentral:miRNA from 1 species